AGGCCAGACCACGGGAGUUGGGGACCCGGAGCUUCUCCGAGACACCACCACUCCUGCUGGAAGGUGCCCUCGAGGACAGACCACGCGACUUGGGGACCCGCAGCUUGUCUGAGGUGUCCCCAAUCCCUGUGGACCGUGGCCCUUGAGGCCAGACCACAGGACUUGGGGACCUGCAGCUUGUCUGAGGUGUCUCCAAUCCCUGUGGAACGUGCCCUUGAGGCCAUUCUGCAGAACUUGUGAGCAGAGGCCUUUCCGAGGUGUCUCUUUUGCAGGUGCCCUUGAGGACAGACUGUGGCAUGGCAGGGAGACGCUCCGGCCUGUGCAGGCUUCUCAGAAGGAGGAACAAAGGCCCUGAGCCUGCCCCAGCACGGCAACCUGAGGACGUGCAAGACUUCCAGCCCCUGCAGCAGGAUCCAGGCCAGCACCGGACAGAAGAGCACGUCCGUACCCAUGGCCGCUUCCGCAGAGCAGUUCAGAGGUUUCUCAAAUUCGUGGGAAUUCGGCGUAGAACACCCAAGACCACACCACCUGAGGCC